rnacentral:rRNA from 1 species
AUUGAACGCUGGCGGCAUGCCUUACACAUGCAAGUCGAACGGCAGCACGGGAGCAAUCCUGGUGGCGAGUGGCGAACGGGUGAGUAAAGUAUCGGAACGUGCCCAGUCGUGGGGGAUAACGUAGCGAAAGUUACGCUAAUACCGCAUACGAUCUAUGGAUGAAAGCGGGGGAUCGCAAGACCUCGCGCGAUUGGAGCGGCCGAUAUCAGAUUAGGUAGUUGGUGGGGUAAAGGCUCACCAAGCCGACGAUCUGUAGCUGGUCUGAGAGGACGACCAGCCACACUGGGACGGAGGCACGGCCCAGACUCCUACGGGAGGCAGCAGUGGGGAAUUUUGGACAAUGGGCGAAAGCCUGAUCCAGCCAUGCCGCGUGCAGGAUGAAGGCCUUCGGGUUGUAAACUGCUUUUGUACGGAACGAAAAGGUUUGGGCUAAUAAGCUGAGCUCAUGACGGUACCGUAAGAAUAAGCACCGGCUAACUACGUGCCAGCCGCCGCCGUAA